rnacentral:rRNA from 1 species
GUGGGGAAUAUUGGACAAUGGGCGAAAGCCUGAUCCAGCCAUGCCGCGUGAGUGAUGAAGGCCUUAGGGUUGUAAAGCUCUUUUGUCCGGGAAGAUAAUGACUGUACCGGAAGAAUAAGCCCCGGCUAACUUCGUGCCAGCAGCCGCGGUAAUACGAAGGGGGCUAGCGUUGCUCGGAAUCACUGGGCGUAAAGGGCGCGUAGGCGGACUUUUAAGUCGGAGGUGAAAGCCCAGGGCUCAACCCUGGAAUUGCCUUCGAUACUGGGAGUCUUGAGUUCGGAAGAGGUUGGUGGAACUGCGAGUGUAGAGGUGAAAUUCGUAGAUAUUCGCAAGAACACCGGUGGCGAAGGCGGCCAACUGGUCCGAAACUGACGCUGAGGCGCGAAAGCGUGGGGAGCAAACAGGAUUAGAUACCCUGGUAGUCC